rnacentral:rRNA from 1 species
ACGCUGAAGCUUGGUGCUUGCACUGGGUGGAUGAGUGGCGAACGGGUGAGUAAUACGUGAGUAACCUGCCCUUGACUCUGGGAUAAGCCUGGGAAACUGGGUCUAAUACUGGAUACGACGGCGCAUCGCAUGGUGUGUUGUGGAAAGGGUUUUACUGGUUUUGGAUGGGCUCACGGCCUAUCAGCUUGUUGGUGGGGUAAUGGCUCACCAAGGCGACGACGGGUAGCCGGCCUGAGAGGGUGACCGGCCACACUGGGACUGAGACACGGCCCAGACUCCUACGGGAGGCAGCAGUGGGGAAUAUUGCACAAUGGGCGAAAGCCUGAUGCAGCGACGCCGCGUGAGGGAUGACGGCCUUCGGGUUGUAAACCUCUUUCAGCACGGAAGAAGCGAGAGUGACGGUACGUGCAGAAGAAGCGCCGGCUAACUACGUGCCAGCAGCCGCGGUAAUACGUAGGGCGCAAGCGUUGUCCGGAAUUAUUGGGCGUAAAGAGCUCGUAGGCGGUUUGUCGCGUCUGCUGUGAAAGCCCGGGGCUUAACCCCGGGUGUGCAGUGGGUACGGGCAGACUUGAGUGCAGUAGGGGAGACUGGAAUUCCUGGUGUAGCGGUGAAAUGCGCAGAUAUCAGGAGGAACACCGAUGGCGAAGGCAGGUCUCUGGGCUGUUACUGACGCUGAGGAGCGAAAGCAUGGGGAGCGAACAGG